rnacentral:rRNA from 1 species
AUUGAACGCUGGCGGAAUGCUUUACACAUGCAAGUCGAGCGGCAGCACGGGGGUAACCCUGGUGGCUAGCGGCGAACGGGUGAGUAAUACAUCGGAACAUGCCCAGUCGUGGGGGAUAACACGUCGAAAGAAGUGCUAAUACCGCAUACGUCCUGAGGGAGAAAGCUGGGGAUCGCAAGACCUCGCGCGAUUGGAGUGGCCGAUGUCAGAUUAGCUAGUUGGUGGGGUAAAGGCCUACCAAGGCAACGAUCUGUAGCUGGUCUGAGAGGAUGAUCAGCCACACUGGGACUGAGACACGGCCCAGACUCCUACGGGAGGCAGCAGUGGGGAAUUUUGGACAAUGGGGGCAACCCUGAUCCAGCCAUUCCGCGUGAGUGAAGAAGGCCUUCGGGUUGUAAAGCUCUUUCGGCAGGAACGAAACGGUGAGCUCUAACAUAGCUUGCUAAUGACGGUACCUGAAGAAGAAGCACCGGCUAACUACGUG